rnacentral:rRNA from 1 species
UAUUCUGAUAGUACCGUCAGCCCCAGAUAAAUCCAGGGGUUUCUUCCUAUCUAAAAGUAGUUUACAACCCAUAGGGCAGUCAUCCUACACGCGGGAUGGCUGGAUCAGGCUUGCGCCCAUUGUCCAAUAUUCC